rnacentral:rRNA from 1 species
GGACUACAAGGGUAUCUAAUCCCGUUUGCUCCCCUGGCUUUCGUGUCUCAGCGUCAGCACACUCCCAGUUACCUGUUUUCACCAUUGGCGUUCCAAAUGAUAUCUACGCAUUUCACCGCUCCACCAUUUGUUCCGGUAACCCCUAAGUGGCUCAAGACACCCAGUAUACCAAGCAGUUCCACAGUUGAGCUGUGGGAUUUCACAAGGUACUUAGGCAUCCGCCUACACACGCUUUAAGCCCAGUGAUUCCGCCUAACGCUCGGCACCUCUGUAUUACCGCGGCUGCUGGCAC